AUUUAACCUCAAAUCAGGUAAGAAUACCCGCUGAACUUAAGCAUAUCAAUAAGCGGAGGAAAAGAAAAUAACAAUGAUUCCCUUAGUAACUGCGAGUGAAGAGGGACAAGCUCAAAUUUUAAAUCUGUUAGGUUCAUCUAACCGAGUUGUAAUUUGAAGAGGCGUUUUCUGCGUUUUUGAUCAGCCCAAGUCCUUUGGAAUAAGGCAUCAUGGAGGGUGAGAAUCCCGUUCGGUUGAUCAAAUUUGCUUUAUGAUACGUCAUCUAAGAGUCAAGUUGUUUGGGAUUGCAGCUUAAAAUGGGAGGUAAAUUUCUCCUAAGGCUAAAUAACGGCGAGAGACCGAUAGCGAACAAGUACCGUGAGGGAAAGAUGAAAAGAACUUUGAAAAGAGAGUCAAAUAGUACGUGAAAUUGUUGAAAGGGAAACGAUUGAAGUCAGUCGUACCUGCGGGAUAAUCAGCCUUUCGAGUAUGAUUCUGUGGAGUGUAAGGAGUUUAACCGUCUUCAUACCUGCAUAUUCGUGCGCUUUGGGUGUACUUGUCCGUAUGGUAGGUUAACAUCAAUUUUGGUCGUUAUAAAAUGACUAGGGGAAUGUAGCUUUGAUCCCGUAUUGAAGUGUUAUAGUCUCUGGUAAAUGCAGUGACUAGGAUUGAGGAUUGCAACGGAUACCUUUCGGGGCUACUCGUCUGAUCUCUGGAAGUUACUUUGGUGCUAAAAGCUUGCUUAUGGUUAUCGAAGUUGACGGUCAAUAGGUUAGAACGAGUUAAAUUCGUUAAGGAUGUUGACGUAAUGGCUUUAAACGACCCGUCUUGAAACACGGACCAAGGAGUCUAGCAUAUAUGCGAGUGUU
rnacentral:rRNA from 1 species